UACAGAGGGGGCAAGCGUUAUUCGGAUUUAUUGGGCGUAAAGGGCGCGUAGGCGGCCUGGCAAGUGGAAGGUGAAAUCCCUCGGCUUAACCGAGGAACUGCCCUCCAAACUGCUUGGCUUGAGUCCGGGAGAGGUGAGUGGAAUUCCCAGUGUAGCGGUGAAAUGCGUAGAUAUUGGGAGGAACACCAGUGGCGAAGGCGGCUCACUGGACCGGAACUGACGCUGAUGCGCGAAAGCGUGGGGAGCAAACGGG
rnacentral:rRNA from 1 species